rnacentral:rRNA from 1 species
UCCAGACUCCUACGGGAGGCAGCAGUGGGGAAUAUUGCACAAUGGGGGAAACCCUGAUGCAGCAACGCCGCGUGGGUGAAGAAGUAUUUCGGUAUGUAAAGCCCUAUCAGCAGGGAAGAGAAUGACGGUACCUGACUAAGAAGCCCCGGCUAACUACGUGCCAGCAGCCGCGGUAAUACGUAGGGGGCAAGCGUUAUCCGGAUUUACUGGGUGUAAAGGGAGCGUAGGCGGCGAUGCAAGUCAGAAGUGAAAGCCCGGGGCUCAACUCCGGGACUGCUUUGGAAACUGUGCUGCUGGAGUGUCGGAGAGGCAAGUGGAAUUCCUAGUGUAGCGGUGAAAUGCGUAGAUAUUAGGAGGAACACCAGUGGCGAAGGCGGCUUGCUGGACGAUGACUGACGUUGAGGCUCGAAAGCGUGGGGAGCAAACAGGAUUAGAUACCCCGGUAA